ACAACAAUUGUAAUUGGUCCAGAGCAAAAGCACCAAAACCUAAACUACAAUGAUCUCAUCAGCCGCCAAUCCCACCCCCACAUCCCCUUCCCCACUUUCCCAAUUCUUUCUUCAACCAUAGCUAGACCAAAAAAUGCGAGAACGACAAAGAAGAAGAGUGAAAGAGAACCCCAUAACUUUUCUAUUCUUGAGCAGAAGAGUGAGUGAAAAUUUGAAGAUUUUGAAGUGGUAAUUUCGGGAGGAGCCAUAGUUCAUGGACUGUAACAGCAAAGCAACGUUACAAAAUUGGGAUGACGAUCCUUUAAGAAGUUUAAAAAGUCUACAGGGUUUUUUAAUUCUUUUGUUGCUUUGUACUUUUCUCUUUUGUUAUCUGUUAAAAAUUCUUGUAAAAGAAUUAUCAAGAUUUUUUUUUGUCUUUUUAGGCACUUGUGUUAUGGGCAUCAAUGUAGAAACAAACAAGUGUAAUAACCAUGAGGAUGGUAGUCCUGCAAGAUCAAAAGGGUAACAUUGCCGUCUUGCCGGAUCAGGACGUGGUGUCACCGGGUGAGAUAAUCGAUGGAGUGCUAUAAGAUCUUAUUUACUGCGCCCUUCUUCUUGAUAUCCACAAGAACAACAAUUUCUUUCACUCAUUUGGUACAAAUACAAUCCACUAAUGUCUCUCAACUCGCCAUCGGAACCUGGUAUUAGAAAAGCAUUGGAGCACUGCUGGGUUUUCACUUCUCUUCACUGUCCGCUAAUGGUUACCAUCACUAUCUAGUCUCACAUUAGCUAGCUUUUUUUCUAAAACUUUAUUAUUCGUGUUGUAAAAUAGUUAUGUAUUGUGGAUCUGUAUGAAAUUAUUCUUUCUCUUGUAAAAGAAUACCGUUACGUUUUGAGUAUAUCAAUAUUUUAAUUUAUCUUGAA